CGAUGAAGUUAUCAUUCCCACAGCUCCCUUAUACAAACAGAUCCUGAAUCUGUAUGCAGAAGAAAACGCUAUUGAAGACACUAUCUUUUACUUGGGAGAAGCCUUGAGAAGGGGCGUGAUAGACCUGGAUGUCUUCCUGAAGCAUGUACGUCUUCUGUCCCGUAAACAGUUCCAGCUGAGGGCACUAAUGCAAAAAGCAAGAAAGACUGCCGGUCUCAGUGACCUCUACUGACUUCUCUGAUACCAGCUGGAGGUUGAGCUCUUCUUAAAGCCUCACUGAACCAUAAGUGUUUUCAUCAAAAAGGAGCAGAGUGGCAGGUCCAAACUAUAUACCUGAUAACUUUAGGAUUAAAGGGAAAGAUAGUGUACCAUUGCCUCCCUGCUUUUAUUGUCAUUUAAAGUUUCGUCUUCAUGGAGCUACUUUACAUUAAAUGUCUGUAUGAUUGAUAGGAAAUAGAUAUUUCAGAGGCUCAAUCGUGCCUCAGGCUUACCACUUGAGUCGCCAUGCUCUCCAAGGAUCAGCCCAUGACAGCUUUCAGAGUGGAUGCCAAGCCUUUGCCCAAUAAAGUAACGAAAACGAGCAGAGUCCAGAUUACAACCACUUCCAAUAACACGGUUUUUGGGAAAUCCACUCAACUUCCAGGCUACAUAAGUUAAGAUAUCCACUAAGAAGAAAAAGUUCAUAUCAAGAAAUGUCCUCAUCUACAAGGAUAUGUUUUUUAGAUUUACCUAACUUAAAACUAGUAAAUCUGAUGUUUUGUGGAGGAGGCAAGAAACAUGGUUCUCUAUCCAACCCCAGCUAUACGCCAACUCUUAAGAAUAUCUACCAAAUAGAAGUAAUGAAAAACCUUUUCGUUGAUACUUUGCACAGCUUGGUAUGCAGAAACACAGAAUGUUCACUCCACAGAAAAU
rnacentral:lncRNA from 1 species